rnacentral:tRNA from 6 species
GGGGUGGUAGUUCAGCUGGUUAGAACGCCUGCCUGUCACGCAGGAGGUCGAGGGUUCGAGUCCCUUCCAUCCCGCCA